GUUGAAAAUAUAUAGCACACAAGACCUACUCUAUAUAUAUUGGCUGGGGUUACUAUACUCUUAUGAGUAUAGACUCUCUUGUACUCAUAAAUUUUUUACUGUUGAUUGAUGGAAUGUAUGGUUAGGAUGAUGCUGGUCCCCAUUUAAAAUGAGAAUGGUCCCUAGGGUUGAGUGGGUAGUUGGUUAAAUAGUAUGAUCUAACGGAUGAAAAUGAUUAAUGGAAUAAAUUUAAGGGCCGAAAACUUAUGAGUAUAAGGAAGCCAAUAUUAAUAAAAGUAUAGUAGCCGGACUCUAUAUA
rnacentral:lncRNA from 1 species